AUAGUUGUCAUUUUGACAAGCUUUGUGCUGAGUCUGACUCGGUCAAAGUUCAACCUCCUGUGAACCAAUAAACCAUUUUCGCUUCGGUAGCGGGCUUGGGCUUAGUUGCCUAGCUGUUAGCCUGCCGACAGCACCCAUUAAACUUGUCUUUAAAAUUUAUGUCUGAUACCAUUCUAAAUCUGAAUGAAAAUUA
rnacentral:misc_RNA from 1 species